GAUGAACGCUGGCGGCGUGCCUAAUACAUGCAAGUCGAGCGAACGGACGAGAAGCUUGCUUCUCUGAUGUUAGCGGCGGACGGGUGAGUAACACGUGGAUAACCUACCUAUAAGACUGGGAUAACUUCGGGAAACCGGAGCUAAUACCGGAUAAUAUUUUGAACCGCAUGGUUCAAAAGUGAAAGACGGUCUUGCUGUCACUUAUAGAUGGAUCCGCGCUGCAUUAGCUAGUUGGUAAGGUAACGGCUUACCAAGGCAACGAUGCAUAGCCGACCUGAGAGGGUGAGCGGCCACACUGGAACUGAGACACGGCCCAGACGCCUACGGGAGGCAGCAGUAGGGAAUCUUCCGCAAUGGGCGAAAGCCUGACGGAGCAACGCCGCGUGAGUGAUGAAGGGCUUCGGAUCGUAAAACUCUGUUAUUAGGGAAGAACAUAUGUGUAAGUAACUGUGCACAUCUUGACGGUACCGAAUCAGAAAGCCACGGCUAACUACGU
rnacentral:rRNA from 1 species